rnacentral:rRNA from 1 species
CUUCCGUAGGUGAACCUGCGGAAGGAAAUUN